rnacentral:rRNA from 1 species
GAUGAACGCUGGCGGCGUGCCUAAUACAUGCAAGUCGAGCGAGCGGAUGAGAAGCUUGCUUCUCUGAUGUUAGCGGCGGACGGGUGAGUAACACGUGGAUAACCUACCUAUAAGACUGGGAUAACUUCGGGAAACCGGAGCUAAUACCGGAUAAUAUUUUGAACCGCAUGGUUCAAAAGUGAAAGACGGUCUUGCUGUCACUUAUAGAUGGAUCCGCGCUGCAUUAGCUGGUUGGUAAGGUAACGGCUUACCAAGGCAACGAUGCAUAGCCGACCUGAGAGGGUGAUCGGCCACACUGGAACUGAGACACGGUCCAGACUCCUACGGGAGGCAGCAGUAGGGAAUCUUCCGCAAUGGGCGAAAGCCUGACGGAGCAACGCCGCGUGAGUGAUGAAGGCCUUCGGAUCGUAAAACUCUGUUAUUAGGGAAGAACAUAUGUGUAAGUAACUGUGCACAUCUUGACGGUACCUAAUCAGAAAGCCACGGCUAACUACGUGCCAGCAGCCGCGGUAAUACGUAGGUGGCAAGCGUUAUCCGGAAUUAUUGGGCGUAAAGCGCGCGUAGGCGGUUUUUUAAGUCUGAUGUGAAAGCCCACGGCUCAACCGUGGAGGGUCAUUGGAAACUGGAAAACUUGAGUGCAGAAGAGGAAAGUGGAAUUCCAUGUGUAGCGGUGAAAUGCGCAGAGAUAUGGAGGAACACCAGUGGCGAAGGCGACUUUCUGGUCUGUAACUGACGCUGAUGUGCGAAAGCGUGGGGAUCAAACAGGAUUAGAUACCCUGGUAGUCCACGCCGUAAACGAUGAGUGCUAAGUGUUAGGGGGUUUCCGCCCCUUAGUGCUGCAGCUAACGCAUUAAGCACUCCGCCUGGGGAGUACGACCGCAAGGUUGAAACUCAAAGGAAUUGACGGGGACCCGCACAAGCGGUGGAGCAUGUGGUUUAAUUCGAAGCAACGCGAAGAACCUUACCAAAUCUUGACAUCCUUUGACAACUCUAGAGAUAGAGCUUUCCCCUUCGGGGGACAAAGUGACAGGUGGUGCAUGGUUGUCGUCAGCUCGUGUCGUGAGAUGUUGGGUUAAGUCCCGCAACGAGCGCAACCCUUAAGCUUAGUUGCCAUCAUUAAGUUGGGCACUCUAAGUUGACUGCCGGUGACAAACCGGAGGAAGGUGGGGAUGACGUCAAAUCAUCAUGCCCCUUAUGAUUUGGGCUACACACGUGCUACAAUGGACAAUACAAAGGGCAGCGAAACCGCGAGGUCAAGCAAAUCCCAUAAAGUUGUUCUCAGUUCGGAUUGUAGUCUGCAACUCGACUACAUGAAGCUGGAAUCGCUAGUAAUCGUAGAUCAGCAUGCUACGGUGAAUACGUUCCCGGGUCU